ensembl:snoRNA
CAGCCUGAAGGGAUGAGUUUGGUUCAUGUCUCUUCUCUGAGACUCGUGCUGCAGACACCACAAAGGCUCUGAUCAGGCAG